UCGUCUCGUUCCCUCUUUCUCCCUUAUAUCCCAUACACGGUAGCUCUUUCUCUCGCUUCUCUUUUCUCCAUCCCUCUCUUCUGCCAUGGCCACGGCUUUCGGCCUCCGCGGGUUCCCUUUGUUGCCCGCCAACGCCCUCAGUUCCCAAUUCAAAUUCGGGCGGGAAAGGAGGGCGGCAGUUUUGGCGCGAAGCUCGAACGUGCAAGAGCCGCGCCCGACCAACGUUCAACCCCCUGUAAAAGAAAAGAAUCCAUUCCCAGGGAAGCUGGAAGCUGAUGUUGUUGUCAUUGGAAGUGUAUUGGUGGACUAUGUUGUGCUGGACUUUUAGCUAGAUACGGGCAGAAUGUUCUUGUGUUAGAAAGUCAUGAUCUUCCUGGAGGUGCUGCUCAUUCAUUUGAAUAAAGGGUUACAAAUUUGACUCAGGCCCAUCUCUGUUUUCUGGAUUUCAGUCAAGAGUCCCCAGGCUAAUCCUCUUGCACAGGUUCUUGAUGCAUUGGGUGAGUCAGUUCCGUGUGCAUCCUAUGACUCAUGGAUGGUGUACAUACCUGAAGGCGAGUUCUUGUCACGAAUAGCCCCACAGAGUUUCUCAAGUGAUAGUGCAGUACUCAAUGUUCUUCACCUUAUUGCCUUUUAUUUUCUCAAAAGAGAAGCUCAUCCAAAGCUUAGCACUCCCCCCUCUUUUAUGGUAAUU